UACGUAGGGGGCAAGCGUUGUCCGGAAUCAUUGGGCGUAAAGCGCGUGUAGGCGGCUUCGUAAGUCCGUUGUGAAAGUCCAGGGCUCAACCCUGGAAUGCCGAUGGAUACUGCGGAGCUAGAGUCCGGAAGAGGCGAGUGGAAUUCCUGGUGUAGCGGUGAAAUGCGCAGAUAUCAGGAGGAACACCGGUGGCGAAGGCGGCGAUCUGGGUCGAUACUGACGCUGAGGUGCGAAAGCGUGGGGAGCAAACAGG
rnacentral:rRNA from 1 species